rnacentral:rRNA from 1 species
UACGUAGGGUGCGAGCGUUGUCCGGAAUUAUUGGGCGUAAAGAGCUCGUAGGCGGUGUGUCGCGUCGGCCGUGAAAACCUGGGGCUCAACUCUGGGCGUGCGGUCGAUACGGGCAUCACUAGAGUUCGGCAGGGGAGACUGGAAUUCCUGGUGUAGCGGUGGAAUGCGCAGAUAUCAGGAGGAACACCAAUGGCGAAGGCAGCUCGCUGGGACGGUACUGACACUGAGACGCGAAAGCGUGGGGAGCAAACAGG